GAUGUGGUUUGACUGCGCAGACGCCGGCCGCGCUGUCUUCCAGCCCCAGCGCCAGCCGAAUGAGGAGGCUCGGCGAUGAGCGCGGCGGGAGCCGGAGAGGGCUGUCGCCGCCGGGCGCGGGUGUCCCGCCUGGUCUCCUUCAGCGCGACCCACAGCCUCCACAGCAAAUCUCCGAGUAAUGAAGAAAACUUGAAACUGUUUGGGAAAUGCAACAAUCUAAAUGGCCAUGGGCACAAUUAUAAAGUUGUGAUGACGGUGCAUGGAGAGAUUGAUCCUGUUACAGGAAUGGUUAUGAAUUUGACUGACCUCAAAGAGUAUAUGGAGGAGGCAGUUAUGAAGCCCCUUGAUCAUAAGAAUUUGGAUCUGGAUGUGCCAUACUUUGCAGAUGUUGUAAGCACAACGGAAAAUGUAGCUGUAUAUAUCUGGGAAAACCUCCAGAAAUUUCUUCCUCUGGGAGUUCUUUAUAAAGUAAAAGUGUAUGAAACUGACAAUAAUAUAGUUGUCUAUAAAGGAGAAUAGCUUUUAGGGGUUAAUACUGUAGAAAGACUAAUUUCUUUCCAUAUUUGAAAAAGGUCUUUAUCCCCUGGGACUAUUAAGAAGUCGUCACACACUUGUUAUGCCUCUACACUGUGUUCCGGAGUGCCCAAUUGAUUGAAACCGUUGUGUGUAAGACCUGUUGUGAAUUCAAAUCUAUCUUAAAACCAAACUUGUAAAACAUCCUGAGUAUCAUUUAGAGAGUCUUUUAUUUAUAGAUUAAAAAUCACUUCAUUUUCAGUAAAAUGUUGUGGUGUGGAAUUUAAAAGUAAAAUAAAUCAAUUUUUGUUU